GACCUUGUAGUGAAAUUCAUGAUGAGUUGCAAGCUCAUUGAUGCACGUUGACAGUGCCGAGGUCU
rnacentral:tRNA from 1 species